AUUGAACGCUGGCGGCAUGCUUUACACAUGCAAGUCGAACGGCAGCGCGGGCUUCGGCCUGGCGGCGAGUGGCGAACGGGUGAGUAAUGCAUCGGAACGUGCCCAGUAGUGGGGGAUAGCCCGGCGAAAGCCGGAUUAAUACCGCAUACGACCUGAGGGUGAAAGCGGGGGACCGAAAGGCCUCGCGCUAUUGGAGAGGCCGAUGUCGGAUUAGCUAGUUGGUGGGGUAAAGGCUUACCAAGGCGACGAUCCGUAGCUGGUCUGAGAGGACGACCAGCCACACUGGGACUGAGACACGGCCCAGACUCCUACGGGAGGCAGCAGUGGGGAAUUUUGGACAAUGGGGGCAACCCUGAUCCAGCCAUGCCGCGUGCGGGAAGAAGGCCUUCGGGUUGUAAACCGCUUUUGUUCGGGAAGAAAUCCUCUGGGCUAAUACCCCGGGGGGAUGACGGUACCGGAAGAAUAAGCACCGGCUAACUACGU
rnacentral:rRNA from 1 species